rnacentral:rRNA from 1 species
UACGUAGGGUGCAAGCGUUAAUCGGAAUUACUGGGCGUAAAGCGUGCGCAGGCGGUUUGGUAAGACAGAUGUGAAAUCCCCGGGCUCAACCUGGGAAUUGCAUUUGUGACUGCCCGACUAGAGUGUGUCAGAGGGGGGGUAGAAUUCCACGUGUAGCAGUGAAAUGCGUAGAGAUGUGGAGGAAUACCGAUGGCGAAGGCAGCCCCCUGGGAUAACACUGACGCUCAUGCACGAAAGCGUGGGGAGCAG